ensembl:lncRNA
CAGGGGAAUGGGGAAAAUACUAGGAAAAAUCUUGUUUAGUUCUGUUUUACUCAAAAUCCGAUUACAGGAUUUAAUAGGAAAACCACAGAAUCUUUACCACAACUUCAAGAAUAUUACUUAACUUCUUUUCCUCAAAAAGCUACAAACCAGUCAACCAUUACAAGAGAAGCAUAGUAAAUAAUUUAUGCAUUCAUUUUUAUUUUUAUUUUUUUUUUGGUUUGUUGACUGCUAUGGCUUUGUGAAACAUGAGAAUUGUUUCCUCAUUUAGCUCAACCAUUAAUAAUUAAACAGUUUCCACACCCAGAUGCACCAGAUGAGUUUACUCUCUGUUCCCACAUUUGCCCCCAGCACACAAAUUGCGCAUAAGGUAUAAAAUCACAUACAACUUUCCUAAACUACUACUAGGUACUUCCAUGGUUCAGGUAAAAAAACAAAACCAUGAUCUUACCCAGUUCUUUGCUGAAUAAGGUUUUAGAAUUAAGCUAUUUGGUUCUGUGGAGAAUUUCUUGACGUCACAUUAUACGUUCUACACAUCAGUAUAUUGUGUUCUGGGUUUAUAAAGCAGAAAUACAUUGAUUCAGAAGCAUAAAAAGCUGUUUCCUACUUAUUGAUGCAGUUAACCAUGUCAAUCUUAUAAUUUGGCUUGUUAGACCAAACGUGGAUGAUGUUAGUAAUGCCAGAAAAUGCUCACUUUGGAAAUCUGUUAUAUUGGAAACAGGCAGUUUAACAUUCAAACUUUUGACUUUAUACCAGAGUAUUCUUCAGUUUUUACAAACACUUAAGCCCAGAGUAUUCUUCAGUUUUUACAAACACUUAAGUCCAGAGUAUUCUUCAUUUUUUUGAACACUUAAGCCAAAAAUAUUUUUUUGUUUUUACGUGAACACUUAAUCCCAGAGUAUUAUUCGGUUUUUAGGAACACUUAAGCACAAAAUGAUUCUUUGUUUUUUCAUGCAAAUACUUAAGUUCAGAGUAUUCUUCAGUUUUUAGGAACACUUAAAGCUAAAGUAGUGUUUUUUUACACAAACACUUAAGUCCAGAGUAUUUAUUUAUUUAUUUAUUCAGUUUUUACGAACACUUAAGACCAAAGUAUUCUUUGUUUUUUUAUGCAAACACUUAAGGCCAAAAUAUCCUUUUUUUUUUUUUUUGUGAAUGCUUAAUGCCAGAGUAUUUUCGGGUUUUUUUGGAGUCAUACUCCAUCCCAAAAUAAAUUUUUUGUCAUUAAUCACUUACCCCCAUGUCGUUUCAAACCCGUAAUGGUUUCGUUCGUCUUCGGAACACAAUUUAAGAUAUUUUGGAUGAAAAUAUGGAGGCUUGUGACUGUCCCAUUGACUGCCAAGUAACUUACACUGUCAAGGUCCAGAGAAGUAUAAAAAGCAUCGUCAGAAUAGUCCAUCUGCCAUCAGUGGUUCAACCGUAACGUUAAGAAGCGACAAGAAUACAUUUUGUACGAGAAGAAAACAAAAAUGAUGACUUUAUUCAACAAUUCGUCUCCUCUGUGUCUCUCCACAUCACCAUAGUGCCAUUUAGGAGAAUACGAGCUGAACGCAAACUGCAUACGCUCUUCACAAGGAUACGUUUUCAACCGUGUAUUUACGCUUUGAUUUGAAAGAAAAUAGCGAAUCCGUGCAGCACGGCUGACACAGAAAAGUGUAAGCUGCUUGCGUACUGCUCAUAUUCUCCAAAUGGCUAAAAAUUGCUAAUAGUUUUUAGGUUACGUCACAGCAACCUUGAUUUGCUACUAGCUAAUGCUAGUCAAAUGCAGACUAUACUAGAGGGAGGUACCUUUUUCAUUGUAGCAUUUUAGUGGACAAAAAUUUAGAUCCUGUAAAUUAAAUGCGCACAUCUGUUAAAUGUUUAUUUUUUUUUAAUUAGUGCAAAAGGUACAUUAGCAUGACAUGGGCUAAAGUCACAAAAACUUUUGGUUCUAAUUAAUUUGUAACAGUUAAAGUUGGCUUCCCUCUUUUGAAUUUGCACAAGGGCUCCUUGACAAACAUUUCAGCAAUUAUGGAAAUUACAGUACAAGUGUGUUACAGUACAAAGAGCAUCCACAAAAUGUUUAAAUGACCUCGGUGACUAAUACACGGAGGCGUAUGUAUUCUUCCUUUUUGUGUACUUGACCACUUAAACACUCACAAAAAAAAGUCAACAGUCGGGAAACAAUCUUACAACACUGCAAACUUCUCACUUUCAACAUUAGCGUAUUACAACAGCUAGGCUCAACACAAAGCUCAACACACAAGAAAAUUACCUGCAGGUCUCACGCUCAUGUCCCCUCAGUUAUGAGCACUAGCAUGUAAGUGAUCUCCAUCCAGUCGGCCAGAUCAUGUUUUUACAAAGAUAAAAUACUGAACUGCCUCUGCCUCCCAAGGGCAAGAAACGAUCUGUGGUUUAUACAAGGUCAAAGAGGAAAAACUUUACGUCACUGGCGGAUCCGUUACCUUUUUCUACCCAUAAUCACACACACAAAUACGUAGUGCACUUCACGUAAGCAUCCCUAUAGCAGCAAAGCAUCUGUGUUAUCUCUGUGGACCAGCAGAUGAGAGAAUAAAGGAACAAUGAGUGAUGUCACAGGAAGAGGAUACAAACCGUCCCUUCUUUUUAAAACACAAAUGAACUAUUUCUGAGGAUGGAAACCAAGUGAAGCCGAGAGCAGCAGCAACAAUCACACAAGGAGGGUGUCAUCAAGGUUUCUAGGCAACAAGACCUGAGAAGAGCAGAAGACCUCAGCUCAAAUACAUGGCGUCGUUGAAUCCUGGAGCUAACAAUAAACAUAUUAAAUGCAGAACUUCAGCACUGACUAACAGAGCAGGUCUUUUGUUCAGCAGAAUCAGAUCUGGUGAACUGAAAACACUGUAAUUGGUUGUUUGUGGUGUCUACGCUUGAUCAUGUGGCUGGGUGUUAGGUUACUGUUAAAGAGAAGUAACUGCCCAAGAGAAAGCAUCGCUUUUCAACCCAAAUGAAAAAAUAAAAGAAGUAUAUAUAUAUAUUGCAAAUUUAGAAUAUAUAAUUUCUAAUACNNNNNNNNNNNNNNNNNNNNNNNNNNNNNNNNNNNNNNNNNNNNNNNNNNNNNNNNNNNNNNNNNNNNNNNNNNNNNNNNNNNNNNAUUAAGCUUUUUUUUUUAAUUCCCAUUAUUCUCAAUGGUGAUUUUCAUUAGACUCUCAUUACUGUAAUAAUGUAAUUUUUUUAAAUAAAAUAAAAUAAAAUAAAAAUUGAUUUUAUCAGCAUAAAUUACAUUGUUUUUUAAUUUCAGUUAUAAACAUUAGUUUUUUUUGCAUCAGUAAUUUACUUGUCUUGAAAAUAAUGUCACAAUAAUGGUUUUAUGGUUAUGUUGUAAUAAUUUCUCAACAAUCGCUAAAUAUAAAAUGUAAUAUAUAUUUAAAAACUAUACAUUGCCAAUUUAUAAUAUACAGAAAAUAUAUAAUUGCAUUUGUUUUUGUAUUUGAUUUUUUGCAUUGUGACUAUAUUUUUAUGACAAUUAAGCACUUUUUUUUUUUUUUUUUUUUGGAAUUCCAUAUAUUCUCAAUAGUGAUUUUCAUUGCUGUAAUAAAAAUGUAAUUUUUAUUUAAUAAAAUAAAAAUAAAUAAAAAUGUAUUUAAUCAGCAUAAAAAAUACUUUCUGAGUGUUUUUAAUUAACAUGAGAUAUGCUACAUCAUGGCAAUUUACUUUUCUUGAAAACAAUGUGACACAAAUGAGUUUUUAUGCUUAUGUUGUAAUUAUUUCUCAACAAUUACUUAAAAAGUUCAAUAAAUUUUAAAUGUAAAAUAUAUUCUCUUUUAGUGUUCAUGUGGUUUUAGACAUUUGUCCAUUUCCUUUGUCGUUGUUCAGCAGCUGUACUAACCAAUGCGAACGUCCUUCUUCCAAAUUGCCAUAACAUCAGGCCAUCUCCGACGGGUCCUACGGGUUUCUCUGAAAAACAUGCCAGGAAAACAAGCGUGAGUCAAAUAACACAUUUCCACUGUAAUCUUCCUCACAGAAAUGACUAGAUUUCAUAAAGGCUUGUUUACUGAUCAGCUGAUCAGCUAGAGUCACACACCACAGUGUAAUUGUCUUUUAAAGUAGCACGCGGUUCUCGCUGUUUUUAAUGUGUGACGCACAGCGUGUCUCUUCCCCCACACCGUCCUAAUGAGACCCCAGUGGAGCUGCAGCCAGGAAACCCGUCAGGUCUCUGGGAACACACUCGCUCCGCGGGGAACACUGCAGUAAACACAGGUGAUCCCGCUGCAGUGUCCUGCCAUAUGCUGGCUUCGCAUGACAAAACCAUUCGUGGCGAAUACAGAAAGGGCUUCUAUAGGUGGGACAUUAUACUGAACGUAGCUGUGAAAGGGAUGCAAGCUUCUCUGUUUUAGUGUGUGGGAAGAUUUGCUGAAAAUAAACGUGACUCGGAAGACCCCAGCAGCACACACUUUGGAUUUCUUCUGAUACUGUAUAUAUCAUCAGCUCAUUAAUGAAGGCUGCAGAACUAUAAUAAGGAUAUACUAUAAUUAUCCAAAACAUGCAGUGUUUGGCUACUCCAGGACCUCUGGUUUGAUAGAAAUCAACACUGAAUGUCUGUAAGCAGUAGAAGCAUCUGACAUACUGACCCAACAUGACUGCAGAGCUCUACAGAACAAAAUAAAUCUGACUGUAGGCUCUCAUAUACUGACAGUCAUAUCC